rnacentral:rRNA from 1 species
UACGUAGGCAGCAAGCGUUGUUCGGAAUUACUGGGCGUAAAGAGUGUGUAGGCGGUGCUCCAAGUCUGGUGUGAAAUCUCCCAGCUCAACUGGGAGGGUGCGCUAGAAACUGGAAUGCUAGAGGAUGGGAGAGGUAAGCGGAAUUCCUGGUGUAGCGGUGAAAUGCGUAGAUAUCAGGAGGAACACCUGUGGUGUAGACAGCUUACUGGACCACUUCUGACGCUGAGACACGAAAGCGUGGGUAGCAAACAGG